rnacentral:misc_RNA from 1 species
UACCAGCCUUCUUUGUUCGCUUGGUCUGCAUCACAUCAAACAAAAAAAGUUAAUCAACUUAAAAAAGUUUACAAGAGCAAAGCACGAAUUGUAGAAUGCAACUAUUAUAAUUGCUAGAGCAAUUGGCGAUGUGUUAGGGCAAGGCAAUGAUUGCCUGGAAUAAUCUACCCACUUAUGUGACAAAACACUUCACCAAUUCCAUCACACCAAAUGUCCAAUCGCAUGAUGACCUUCUUGCUAAAAUAUUUUUUAGGCAUCUAUAAAAGCAUCAAGUCCAUGUAACCACACUGCAGAAUUUCUAUAGCUCAAUGUAUAUUCUAGUCAUAACUUUACAGUCAGUUUCAUCUCAACUCUCAAGACCUAUUGAAAUCAAUAAUAUGUCUGGAUAACCGAAGGAUUAGUAGAGAUAGCAAUUCUUUCAACUGUCAGCACAUUCACCUUCAAAACCAAAACUUCAUUUUACAACCAGCAAAUUAAACAUAUAACAUUUGCAAAAUGCAACCACCAUGCAUCGAGUAACCCCAACUACCGUUUUGAAGUAUUAUCCACUGGGUUCCGCCAGCAAAUACACCUUAAAAAAUAACAUAUCAUAUUCGGCAUCAGUCAAGCAUAGCUUAUUCCUCAAUUAACUAACCAUAAAUUGCUGCAAAUGAAAGACUCAAUCUUCACCAACAUAGCUAAAACUUAUCCCAGUUGAUUCAUGAUUCGAAAUACAAUCGCAUUUUUGGGGCAAAAAAAAAAAAGAACAAUUCUCAGCGGGAAUACACAUAAAGAAAACCAUUUUCCAAGGAAACAAACAGACAACCAGCACGCAAAUAUAGAAGGCUCAAGAUCAAACAUAAACAUCACAAAAAAAUUAGGAGAG